GGCUGGCGCCAGCCGCCUUCCCUGCGUGUGUAGGCUUUGCGUGUGUGUACAUGCAAGCGAGGGAGCGAGAGGCGAAGGAAGCGGGCGCGUGCGGAGGAGUCUCCCGCGAGGCUCGCCGAAGCCCAGCGCAGCAGGCGGGUGCCGGGGUCCGGCCGCGGGGCAUGGAGAGCCUGCUGGAGAAUCCGGUGCGCGCCGUCCUCUACCUGAAAGAGCUCACCGCCAUCGUCCAGAACCAGCAGAGCCUCAUCCACACCCAGCGCCAGCGCAUCGACGAGUUGGAGAAGCGCCUAGACGAGCUCAGCACCGAGAACCGCAGCCUCCGCGAGCAGUACGCGCUCCCGGCGGAAGCCCCGCCGCCGCCGCUGCCGCUGCAGCCGAGGGUUCCCCCUGCUGCCUCCUUGCCUUGCCGAGCGCCGCCUCCGGGCCAGCAGCAGCAGCCGGCGGCGGCGGCGGCGGCGGCGGCGGCGGCUGAACAGGAGGAGUUUCAGCACCACCAACAGCUCCCGGCGCUUCAGCAGCCGCCGCCGCGGCACCCGCCGCCGCCUCCGCCGCCUCCCAGCAGUAGCAAGCAAGCUCAGGCCGGCCCCAGCGGCACCCGGACGCCGAUCUCACACCAGCACCCUUCCCUCCAGCCCCACCAGCACCACCACGAGGACAGCCGGGAAAAGAGCUGUUGCCCUGCCCUCCUUCCGCACAAAAGCCCCCCAGCCCUCGGCAAAGGCGUCUUAGUCAGAAGGCUAGAGAAUGAGACUGUUUUACACCAAUUCUGCUGCCCGGCUGCGGAUGCAGAGCAAAAGCCUUCAUCUGCAGAGUCUUCUUCAAGUGAUGAUCCCUGCGGUUCAGCCAGCAAGAAAACCGGGUGUGACGUGGACGAACCGAAGGAGUCCGGCAGAGGCAGUGGCCAGGAAGGCAGGUCCGACACCUUGAAGUUAAAAGCCCAGCAUGAGGAGCGGCAGGAAGAGCAGGCAGCGGGGUCCUCCCAUUUGGUGCAGAAGGCCAGCCUCCACCACACAGGUUCCCCCGUGAGAGGGCAGCGCAGCAAAGGGGCAGCUACCUGUUCCCAUGCGGCUGCGUCCAAUUAUGAGCUCUCCCUUGACUUAAAGAAUAAACAGAUCGAAAUGCUAGAGCACAAAUAUGGGGGCCACUUGGUCUCUCGGAGAGCAGCCUGCACAAUUCAGACUGCCUUCCGCCAGUACCAGCUCAGCAAAAACUUUGAGAAGAUCCGGAAUUCUCUACUGGAGAGCCGCAUGCCCCGGCGGAUUUCCUUGAGGAAACUCCGAGUCCAGAACUCUGAAAAUUUCUCUGCUGAGAAAGCUCUAGUGGAAGGCUAUAACUUUGUUGGCAUCCCCUUGGUAAGAUCUCCCUCUUUGCCAGUAACCAUUAGUGGGGCCCUGACCGAACUGGAAGACUCCUUCACUGAGCAAGUUCAAUCUUUGGCCAAAUCAAUUGACGACGCGCUUAGCACAUGGAGCCUGAAAACGAUGUGCUCCCUUCAAGAUGGCAGUUCCUAUCAGAUCAGAGAGACCUUCAGUACGAGUGCCAUGCAACCAAACCAAGACUUGGACAUGGAACUGAAGGACCAAGAGAAGGAGGAAGGGCUGCUGCCAGACACAUUACCAAAGAGCAGCAGCACGCUCAUGAUGGCCUUCAGGGAUGUCACUGUCCAAAUAGACAACAAGAACAUCUCCGUCUCCUCAUCUACCUCGGUGUCUAUGGCAAACUGCCUGGCUAACAGUAGUCAGGCUGGGAUUUCUCCAGCUGCCAAAAUAGAAGAAAUCCCUGUGGAAGGGGAGAAAGAGGAUAAAGAUCUUCAAGUUGUUUCAGAAGGGCAGCCUGAUGCUGGAGCCUUCCAGAACAGUCACCCAAUAACCGAGGGGAAUCUCAACACCAACGGUUUGGAGAAAGGGGAGGCUGAGCAAGACCAAAUGAUGAUGCCGAAACUCGAGUUUGGCUCUGAAAACGGGACUGGGCAGCACAAGGGAUCAGAAGCUGAAAAUGUAGACAAUUUGGAACAACUGAGCAGUAGCAGUACGUCCACCUCGGCGAAGUCUGCUUCAGAGUUAUCCUCAAAGGAAGCCCUGCAAGCCAUGAUUUUGAGCCUCCCACGGUACCACUGUGAGAAUCCAGCUGUCUGCAAAUCCCCCACACUUUCCACGGACACCAUGAGGAAACGGCUGUACCGCAUUGGGCUGAAUCUCUUUAACAUAAAUCCAGACAAGGGGAUCCAGUUCCUGAUCUCUCGAGGUUUCAUACCAGAUACACCGAUUGGAGUGGCCCAUUUCCUGUUGCAGCGUAAGGGGCUCAGCCGACAAAUGAUCGGGGAAUUUCUGGGAAACAGCAAGAAACAAUUCAACAGAGAUGUCCUGGACUGUGUAGUGGAUGAGAUGGACUUCUCUGGCAUGGAGCUUGAUGAAGCUUUGCGGAAAUUUCAGGCCCAUAUCCGGGUGCAGGGAGAAGCCCAGAAAGUGGAACGACUAAUUGAAGCCUUCAGCCAGAGGUACUGCAUGUGUAAUCCAGAUGUAGUCCAACAGUUCCAUAAUCCAGAUACCAUUUUCAUCUUGGCUUUUGCCAUCAUCCUUCUUAAUACGGAUAUGUACAGUCCUAACAUUAAACCUGACAGGAAGAUGAUGCUGGAGGACUUCAUUCGGAACCUGAGAGGAGUGGAUGAUGGAGCUGAUAUUCCCCGUGACUUGGUGGUGGGGAUUUAUGAAAGGAUUCAGCAAAGAGAGCUCAAAUCCAACGAGGACCACGUCACUUAUGUCACCAAAGUAGAAAAAUCAAUUGUGGGAAUGAAAACGGUGCUGUCUGUGCCUCAUCGCCGGUUGGUCUGUUGCAGCCGCCUUUAUGAAGUCACAGACGUGAACAAAGUGCAGAAACACGCUGCCCACCAGAGAGAAGUGUUUCUCUUCAACGACCUGCUGGUGAUUCUCAAGCUUUGCCCCAAGAAGAAAAGCUCUUCAACCUACACAUUUUGCAAGUCAGUCGGCCUCUUAGGAAUGCAGUUCCAUCUGUUUGAGAAUGAAUACUAUCCCCAUGGUAUCACUUUGGUGAUUCCAGUUUCAGGCUCAGAGAAGAAACAGGUGCUUCAUUUCUGUGCCCUAAACGCUGAAGAAAUGCAAAAGUUUGUGGAAGACCUCAAAGAAUCAAUAGCUGAGGUGAUGGAGCUAGAACAGAUUCGAAUUGAAUGAAUAUAGGAACAUUAUUAUCUGGGGUAAUCUCUUUCCCCACUAUAAACAAAAAAGUUAUUAUGAGUUACUGAAUCCACAUCCCAAGUUCAAACUUUGGUCUAAGCCAGUGGUUCCCAACCUUUUCUUUGGCCAUGCCCCACCUAAGCAUCUCGAAAAUCCUGAUGCCCCCCUCCCCCUCGUGACAUAUAAUUCUUACUAUUCAAAAAGUGAAUUCCUACUCACAGGAGGAAGCCUAAAAGGCCAUUAACUUGGUUUAAACAAGGUUCCAAUUGCCCCCAUGAAAAAUCAAAUUGCCCCCAUUAAAAAUCAAAUUGCCCCUCUGUGGGGUGUGGGCCCCACUUUGGGAACCACUGGUCUAAGGUAUUAUUUGUUUUAACUGUGGUUUAUACACAGUGCUAAAUUGUAAACCAUCAUCUACGAAUCCCAGUGGUUGAAUUCAAACACCAUGCUAAACCAGAGUCAAUCUUCAUUAUGACCCUAAUGUGGUAUAUACAGGCAAACGUAAGGUACAGAAUCAUUGAGCUUGCCAGAGAUACAAUGUUCCUAUGUUCCUAUCAAUAAUUGCACAUGGAACCAGUAAAUAAAUUACUCCCUUGGUUUUGGAAAUGGGUAAGAUGGAUAAUAAAAUAAUGAGAAUAUUUGAAAACAAAUGUAUGCUGGAUUAGCUCAUAUGAGUCCAGCCGAUACAAUAACACCCGGGACUUAUGUGUAUCAGAAAACCUGGCAUCAUUUUUGGAAUGCUAUAUGGAUUAUGUGCUCCUAAUGUGACUGCUAAUUAACUGCUUGGCUGCACAAUCCGGCGAGUUCCUCUUUUUUCAUUACUUACUUACUGAAUAAUACUUCCCCUCACAUACACAAAAAUAUCCCUUCCCCACAUACUGUUGCAUCCAUUCAGUUGAAGAGCUCUCUGGAUACGGCUACAGUUAUUCACAGUGGGGUAAAGCAAAAUUUGCAGAAUCAAAAUUCAUCCUGGAAACAGAUAUUUGCAAAUUCAGAGAAGUCGCACUUCUGGGUUUGUCAUUCCCUACUUUUUGGCUCAAGGAGCACACACCAAAUCCAGGAGAAGAAAUAUAUGUCAUUGCCCUGAUUGUGGGUAUUUUACCCAAUCUACUCCACUUGUAAUAUUUUAGCCUAAAAUGUAGAUAGCUUUCCUAGAAUUCUUUAUGUUUGUCAAAGCAUAAGUAGAAGCGGGCCAAACUUUCAUUUGUGUUUUGCGUUUGUGUGUGUGUGUGUUUGUGUGUGCGCCCGCACGUACAUGCACUCAGGUGGUAUAUUUUCUAUCUUUCCCAACCGGGUGUUUUCUCACUGUGAUAGACUAUAGCUUUGCCCCUGUGUCAGGAGAUGCCUGCUAGCACCUUUUCCAACCAGCAAAUUUUAAUAAAAAACUUUUCAUGAGAUGCAGCUCACUUCAACAGAUGCCCGGAGUGGCUAGGCUGAUGGAGAAUUUAAAUUGGGGGGGGAGGAGAAGAAGGCAGGGGAAGACAGAUUGGUUAUGCAGAUGCAUGUUAUAAAUACUCUUGUCAAUUAACAAUUGUGCUAAAAAAACCUAUUGUGUUUGUUGAGGCCUUCUGAGAUGGCUUGAAAUCUUUUGUUGGACGUGAGUCCAACAGUAGCUUCCCCCAAUGGUGCGGUUAAAGUUUCUUUUUUCCCAAAAUGGCUAGUUUGAAUUCUGUAGUGAAUUAUCCUAGGAGGCUGAAACGCUCUGAUAUUCCUUUGUCCUUGUCUUGAGAGCUGAUGUCAAACUUGUGCCCAUUAAUUCUUUUGCACAAAGUUUGUCUGAGAUGUACAGAAUCCAGAGGGACAUUGCUGGCAGAUGAUGGCAUAUAUCCCACUGGAGGAAGAGCAAGUGAAGGCACCUUUAACCUUAUAGGUGAAGCGUUUUGGAGCCUGUGAUACUAGUGCUGUUGAAAUGAAUAUGGGGCCAAACGUCUGUUUCUCAUCUUAAUAUCAUUUUCUCCCUGUUUCUGAAUACUGAUGAGAGAAUCUGCUUCAGGUUGGAUGGUUUGUAUGCAAGUCUAGAUCGGCUACACCAGAGUUCUCCAAUUUUUCUGGUUUUGUGGACCAGCUGGGGUGGGGGGGGAGAGAGUAUGGUUCUGUGUGAGUGGUGGACAAGUGCAUGUAGCUCCAUUGGUGCAAGCAUCAGGUACAUGCACCCACUGCUCACUGUCAGGGUUCCAAAUAAUAAAUCCAUAGCAAGCGAGACUCCAAGGCAGGUAGAUUCCUCAAAGAAUACUUUUAUUGGAAUGAUCAUAUUGGCACAUAUCUGGUGAAAACCGACUCUGAAGGUUCCCGUGGUUUUCACCAGAUUAAUUAAAAGUAAAUUAAAUUAAAAGUAAUUAAACAUUUUAUACUUUCUCAAAACACACAGCCAUAUGGUCCAAUUGCACUCCUGGCUGGCCACCGGGUGACAUCACUUCGGCUUCCUCCGACCAGGUAUGAAAAAUGUCCUUGGUUCCCAAGAGAAAGUAUUUUGUUUUGGCUACAGAACCACAUCUAUCUCAAAUACCCCCUCCCUAUCCCUCAGGUCCAGUGUGGCAACACUGAAGCGGUCAAAAUGGCUUCAAUCAGGUCAGCUUCAGGGUUGACACUCGCGCAAGUGGAGAUGCGCAUGCACACAUGCACGCUCGCACGCCACUUCCGCAGCCCAGUUCCAAAGGGUUCAAGGCAUGGUAGUGGACUAUGGCCCAGGAGUUGGGGAUCCUUGUGCUACACAGUUCCUGAGAAAGCUGUCCAGCACUGGUUGUAAUUUACUGGUCUUAAUAAUGUCAUUUAUCAAUAAUCUGUUUGAGUGACUUGAGCUAUGACAGCCACUGGAAUUCUGUUCUGUUUUUGUGAUCUAUCAUUUAACAGAACUGGGAAUUGAUGUGGUUCUGUUGAUGUAUCUGUUGAUCUAGGUGAGUGGGUUUCAGUCUCCCGAAUGGCUGGCUUAAUUUCAUCGAACGAGCAUCUCUUAUCCAAUGAAUUAGAACAAAUACAAUUAUAGCUCGGAGCCUAGCUAGAGAUGAUAGAUUUGAGAGUGUGUUGUGGGUAGAAACCCGAAACAUUUAAGCACGCAUAGGUAAUCUGUAGGCUUCAUGUGUAAUGUGAUGUUUAUAUAUCAAUUCUGUAUUGUUACUAGGGCAUCAAGGAAAUGGACUUGUUGUUCAAGUGCACUGCUACUAAAGUUGAUGGUGAGCUGGAAGUUGUUGAAGCUUUGAUAAAAUUUGAUGAGCUUUUUUUCCCAUAGGUCCAUGUAGUGAAAAUGUCAUCAGUGAAUUUCAAGUAAAGGAGGGGUUUCAGGAGGCAAGAACUGAGGAAGCAGUAUUCUAGGUUGGCAUGGAGAAUUUGGCAUAUGACUUGAGUAUUCAUGCUGUGAUGCUCAUCUGCAAGAAUAUGUUGUUGCCAAAGUUUAAGGAGUCAAGGGUGAAGACCAGGUCAUACAGUUAGGUGAUAAUAAUGAUACUUAUAAUCUGCCUCUCAUCUGUCCUGCAUUUCCAUAACCCUCCCUUCUUCUCUUCUUUUUGCUACUUCUCUCAACCCAAUUUAAAUCCUACAUUAGUCUAGUCACUUUGUGCAUUAGAUGAAGUGAACUGCAGCUCAUGAAAACUUAUGACUUUUAAUAAAAUGGGUACGACAGAAAAGUGCUACCAGAUUCCUCCUGAUUAUUUGCCACCGUAGACUAACAUGACUCUCCUCCUACAAUAUCUAGCAGACAUGAUUGCUCUUUUUUUCUUUGUCACAUCCCUCUGGUUUUUAUGGCUCUGUUUUUUUUUUUGUUUUCAUCUUUCUUUUUCUUUCUCUCCAUUAUAUAUUCUGUACCUUCCUCCUCUUCCCCCAUCCCCAUGUCUUCUUAGGGGAGCUGGAGAAACAGCAUGGGGCAAAGAAUCUUUCCUUAAAAACCAAUGGGGCUCAGAUGGAAAUGCAAUUCAAGCACGGAUCUCCAGCAGGCAAAAAAGAUU